UCGGAACGUGUCCUGUUNUGGGGGAUAACUGAUCGAAAGAUCAGCUAGUACCGCAUGAGACCUGAGGGUGAAAGCGGGGGAUCGCAAGACCUCGCGCGACAGGAGCGGCCGAUGUCUGAUUAGCUAGUUGGUGAGAUAAAAGCUUACCAAGGCGACGAUCAGUAGCUGGUCUGAGAGGAUGAUCAGCCACAUUGGGACUGAGACACGGCCCAGACUCCUACGGGAGGCAGCAUG
rnacentral:rRNA from 1 species